rnacentral:rRNA from 1 species
AACGAACGCUGGCGGCAGGCUUAACACAUGCAAGUCGAACGGGCGUAGCAAUACGUCAGUGGCAGACGGGUGAGUAACACGUGGGAACCUUCCUAGGGGUACGGAACAACUCAGGGAAACUUGAGCUAAUACCGUAUACGUCCGAGAGGAAAAAGAUUUACCGCCCUUAGACGGGCCCGCGUCGGAUUAGGUAGUUGGUGGGGUAGCGGCCUACCAAGCCGACGAUCCGUAGCUGAUCUGAGAGGAUGAUCAGCCACACUGGGACUGAGACACGGCCCAGACUCCUACGGGAGGCAGCAGUGGGGAAUCUUGGACAAUGGGCGCAAGCCUGAUCCAGCCAUGCCGCGUGAGUGAAGAAGGCCUUAGGGUUGUAAAGCUCUUUUGGCAGGGACGAUAAUGACGGUACCUGCAGAAUAAGCCCCGGCAAACUUCGUGCCAGCCGCCGCAGUAACAC